CGUAUUCACAAAUAAAGCGGAAGUGUUUCGGGGAGGUCGGUCAGCGAUUGAUUGGCCGCAUUAGUUCUCAGUGCAAUUCUUGUUCUCAUGUGUAUUAUCUAUUUUAUGCAUUUCCAAACUUCUCAUAAAGUGAACGAUUGAAAAUGACUAAAGGACUCCAACAGAAACAGCAGCAGCACUACUACGAUCAGUAAACGAAAAAAAAAGUCAACGAUAAGCAGAGCACGCACUCUUUACUUCCAUUUUUAUGAACAGAUGCGCUGUCGAUUGUGUGCACUGGUGAUCCUGUUGCAGUUUCUUGUAACAAUAUCAGCCAGAGAAAAGCGGAAAUGUAUCGGCGGACUUUGUAUUCCACCAGAAUUAUGCCGACCCGUCAAUACCAACGUAUACGACGAAAUUCAUCUGGACUUCUUCAGUUUCGAUCGUUCCAGCUCCAACGAGUGCCGACGCGGAAAUCUAAAAUGCUGUCCAUAUGAACGGAUUGUACGAGCGCCGGAGACCGAGGCGCCGGAUGAGAAUGAGGUGGUGUGCGCCGCGAGAAAUAACAACGGGGUUGGCAACUUCAUUUACAACGACAAAUCGAAGGCUAAAUACGGUGAAUUUCCCUGGAUGGCUUUCGUCUACACUGUACAGGCCGAGUAUGAAAUCUAUCUUUGUGGUGGAACGUUGAUCCAGUCGAAGGUCGUGCUUACGAUUGCGCAUUGCAUUGAAGGUAAACAUCCAGAUCAGCUACGAGUGCGCUUCGGUGAAUGGGACCUAGAAGAUAUGAUCGAAAUAUAUCCUCCACAAGACCGAGCCGUGCACAAAAUUAUAAUCCAUCCACAUUUCUAUGGAGAAUUGCUGCAAAAUGAUAUUGCCAUACUGUUCAUCGAUGAUCACGUGUGGUUCACUGAAGUCGUCGGAACGGUGUGCAUGCCACCUCAAAACUCCAACUUUGACGAUAAGCGUUGUGUGUUUUCCGGCUGGGGUGAAGAUGUAAACGGUCGGAAUUCAUCAAUUCUAAAAAGAACGAAAUUGCCGAUAGUCCCUAGAGGCCAAUGUCAAAAGGCUUUAAGAAAACAACUGAAUGAUCGGUAUUUUCAGCUACACGAGGGUUUCCUUUGUGCUGGUGGUGAAUCCGGUAAGGAUGCCUGCAAAGGGGACGGAGGUUCGCCGCUUGUUUGCAGAAUACCGAACUCAGAGAAUCAGUACUACCUCGUGGGAAUCGUAGCAUUCGGAGCGGAGUGCGGGGCACACGGUGUGCCGGGAGUAUAUGUAAAUGUUCCUUACUAUCGUGAUUGGAUUGACGGAGAGAUUGCUAAAAUGUAUCAUGUCGACAUAUUCGUGAACUGACUGGAAAUAAACCGUUAGAUAACAAACUUCAUUACUGUUGAUGAGUUCAACUGCACAGACUGAUGAUUAUCUUGCUUCCUAUCUAAACUGAUCCGAAAACCUGUUUGAACUCCUUCAUGGUGAUAGAAAUCAAAAC